ensembl:lncRNA novel transcript, antisense to FGF14
AUACAAAUGACCUUUGGAUUUCUCUAUCACGGCGCUUAUCCUCCUAUUAAGGAUCAGAAAGUUAAACUUUACGGACCACGAAAGAACACAACAGCCGUCUUGCCCAUGCUCUGCUGAGUAUGAGGGGAACGCAGCCAGAAACGGGGAUGGCGUUAAGUUUGGUUCAUUAAAAACAGGACGGAGUAUAUCUGAAAUGGAUUUAGACGCACUUGUGCUUUUACUUGGCGUCACCCCAGGCUUCGGGACCGUUUCCCCAACAUCAUGCAAAGAUGGUUCUCGGUACAUGGCAACUAGUGAUGGGAAGAAAGGAGGAGGAAAAGCAAACAUUGCUUGGUUAGGUGUGAGAAUGGUCCAUCCAUACCUGCAUAGACCACUGCAGUUUGCCCAUUUCUGUUUUCCCUGAAGUAAAGCAAUUCCAUUGAGACAGAA